UUCUUGGUCAUUUAGAGGAAGUAAAAGUCGUAACAAGGUUUCCGUAGGUGAACCUGCGGAAGGAUCAUUAAAGAAAUUUAAUAAUUUUGAAAAUGGAUUUUUUUUGUUUUGGCAAGAGCAUGAGAGCUUUUACUGGGCAAGAAGACAAGAGAUGGAGAGUCCAGCCGGGCCUGCGCUUAAGUGCGCGGUCUUGCUAGGCUUGUAAGUUUCUUUCUUGCUAUUCCAAACGGUGAGAGAUUUCUGUGCUUUUGUUAUAGGACAAUUAAAACCGUUUCAAUACAACACACUGUGGAGUUUUCAUAUCUUUGCAACUUUUUCUUUGGGCAUUCGAGCAAUCGGGGCCCAGAGGUAACAAACACAAACAAUUUUAUCUAUUCAUUAAAUUUUUGUCAAAAACAAGAAUUUUCGUAACUGGAAAUUUUAAAAUAUUAAAAACUUUCAACAACGGAUCUCUUGGUUCUCGCAUCGAUGAAGAACGCAGCGAAAUGCGAUACGUAAUGUGAAUUGCAGAAUUCCGUGAAUCAUCGAAUCUUUGAACGCACAUUGCGCCCCUUGGUAUUCCAGGGGGCAUGCCUGUUUGAGCGUCAUUUCCUUCUCAAACAUUCUGUUUGGUUGUGAGUGAUACUCUUUGGAGUUAACUUGAAAUUGCUGGCCUCUUCAUUGGAUGUUUUUUUUCCAAAGAGAGGUUUCUCUGCGUGCUUGAGGUAUAAUGCAAGUACGGUCGUUUUAGGUUUUACCAACUGCGGCUAAUCUUUUUUUAUACUGAGCGUAUUGGAACGUUAUCGAUAAGAAGAGAGCGUCUAGGCGAACAAUGUUCUUAAAGUAUGACCUCAAAUCAGGUAGGAGUACCCGCUGAACUUAAGCAUAUCAAUAAGCGGAGGAA
rnacentral:rRNA from 1 species